rnacentral:rRNA from 1 species
UACGGAGGGUGCUAGCGUUGUUCGGAAUUACUGGGCGUAAAGGGCGCGUAGGCGGCCGUUUGCGUCGGAUGUGAAAGCCCGGGGCUCAACCUCGGAACGGCAUUCGAUACGGGACGGCUAGAGACCGGGAGAGGAGAGUGGAAUAGCCAGUGUAGAGGUGAAAUUCGUAGAUAUUGGCUGGAACACCGGUGGCGAAAGCGGCUCUCUGGCCCGGUUCUGACGCUGAGGCGCGAAAGCGUGGGUAGCAAACAGG